rnacentral:rRNA from 1 species
CCCCUUAGAUGUCCGGGGCCGCACGCGCGCUACACUGAAGGAAUCAGCGUGGCUUUCUCCCUGACCCGAAAGGGUUGGGAAACCCGUUGAAUCUCCUUCGUGAUAGGGAUUGGGGCUUGAAAUUGUUCCCCAUGAACGAGGAAUUCCCAGUAAGCGCGAGUCAUAAGCUCGCGUUGAUUACGUCCCUGCCCUUUGUACACACCGCCCGUCGCUACUACCGAUUGAACGGUUUAGUGAGGGCCUCGGAUUGGUCUCGGCCCGCUCUUUACCGGGCGGCGCCGUUGGUCGAGAAGACGCUCGAACUUGAUCGUUUAGAGGAAGUAAAAGUCGUAACA